rnacentral:rRNA from 1 species
AUGACGUCAAAUCAUCAUCGCCCCUUAUGAUCUGGGCUACACACGUGCUACAAUGGCCGGUACAACGGGCAGCGAAGGAGCGAUCCGGAGCGAAUCCUAAAAAAGCCGGUCCCAGUUCGGAUUGCAGGCUGAAACUCGCCUACAUGAAGUUGGAGUUGCUAGUAAUCGCGAAUCAGAAUGUCGCGGUGAAUGCGUUCCCGGGUCUU